rnacentral:rRNA from 1 species
AUUGAACGCUGGCGGCAGGCCUAACACAUGCAAGUCGAGCGGAGCGGCGGACGGGUGAGUAAUGCCUAGGAAUCUGCCUGGUAGUGGGGGAUAACGUCCGGAAACGGACGCUAAUACCGCAUACUAUCAGAUCAGCCUCGGUCGGAUUAGCUAGUUGGUGGGGUAAAGGCGUACCAAGGCGACGAUGCGUAACUGGUCUGAGAGGAUGAUCAGUCACACUGGAACUGAGACACGGUCCAGACUCCUACGGGAGGCAGCAGUAGGGAAUAUUGGGCAAUGGGCGAAAGCCUGAUCGAGCAAUGCCGCGUGUGUGAAGAAGGUCUUCGGAUUGUAAAACACUUUUAUUUGGGAGGCGUUACCAAAAGAAAAAGCACCGGCUAACUUCGUGCCAGCAGCCGCGGUAAUAC